rnacentral:rRNA from 1 species
GUUCGAUUCUAGCUCAGAUUGAACGCUGGCGGGAUGCUUUACAUGCAAGUCGAACGGCAGCACGGACUUCGGUCUGGUGGCGAGUGACGAACGGGUGAGUAAUGAAUCGGAACGUGCCUAGUGGCGAGGGAUAACUACGCAGAAAGCGUAGCUAAUACCGCAUACGCCCUUCGAGGAAAGCGGGGGACCUUCGGGCCUCGCACUAUUAGGCGGCCGAUAUCGGAUUGGCUAGUUGGUGGGGUAACGGCUCACCAAGGCGACGAUCCGUAGCUGGUUUGAGAGGACGACCAACCACACUGGGACUGAGACACGGCCCAGACUCCUGCAGGAGGCAGCGGUGGGGGUACUGGACAAUGGGGAAACCUGAUCCAGCCAUCCCGCGUGUGCGAUGAGGGCCUUCGGGUUGUAAAGCACUUUUGGCAGGAAAGAAGCGGCUUUGCGGGAUAAUACGUCAACUGACGAUGCCUGCAGAAUAAGCACCGGCUAACUACGUGCCUUUAGCCGCGGUAAUACGUAGGGUGCAAGCGUUAAUCGGAAUUACUGGGCGUAAAGCGUGCGCAGGCGGUUCGGAAAAGAAAGAUGUGAAAUCCCAGAGCUUAGCUUUGGAACUGCAUUUUUAACUACCGAGCUAGAGUGUGUCAGAGGAGUGGAAUUCCGUCUUAGCAGUGAAAUGCGUAGAUAUGCGGAGGGGAACACCGAUAGCGAGCAGCCUCCUGGGAUAACACUGACGCUCAUGCACGAAAGCGUGGGGAGCAAACAGGUUGAGCCACGGUAGUCCACGCCCUAAACGAUGUCAGCCUAGCUGUUGGGGCCGCUUCAGGCCUUGGUAGCGCAGCCCCAACGCGUGGGGAUUGACCGCCUGGGGAGAGUACGGUCGCAAGAUUAAAACUCAAAGAGAUUGACGGGACCCGCACAAGCGGUGGAUGAUGUGUGGAUUAAUUCGAUGCAACGCGAAAAACCUUACCUACCCUUAAACAUGUCUGGAAUCCCGAAGAUUUGGGAGUACUCGCCAAGAGAACCCGGAACACAGGUGCUGCGCUGGCUGUCGUCAGCUCGUGUCGUGAGAUGUUGACGGGUUAAGUCCCGCAACAGGCGCAGCCCUUGUCAUUGGUUGCUACGAAGAACUGCUCUAUUAGGACUGCCGGUGAUGGAAACCGGAGGAGGAAGGUGGGGAUGACGUCAAGUCCUCAUAGCCCUUAUCAGUGGAAGCACCACUGCUCAUACAAUGGUCAGGACAGAGGGUCGCCAACCCGCGAAGACCAAUCCCGAAACCCGAUCGUAGUCCGGAUCGCAGUCUGCAACUCGACUGCGUGAAGUGGAAUCACAAGUAAUCGCGGAUCAGCAUGUCGCAGUGAAUACGUUCCCGGGUCUUGUACACACACCGCCCGUCACACCAUGGGAGUGGUUUGCAAGUAGUUAGCCUAACCGUAAGGAGGGCGAUUACCACGGUAGGAUUCAUGACUGGGGUGAAGUC